GUGGGGAAUUUUGGACAAUGGGCGAAAGCCUGAUCCAGCAAUGCCGCGUGCAGGAUGAAGGCCCUCGGGUUGUAAACUGCUUUUGUACGGAACGAAAAGCCUGGGGCUAAUAUCCCCGGGUCAUGACGGUACCGUAAGAAUAAGCACCGGCUAACUACGUGCCAGCAGCCGCGGUAAUACGUAGGGUGCAAGCGUUAAUCGGAAUUACUGGGCGUAAAGCGUGCGCAGGCGGUUUUGUAAGACAGGCGUGAAAUCCCCGGGCUCAACCUGGGAAUUGCGCUUGUGACUGCAAGGCUGGAGUGCGGCAGAGGGGGAUGGAAUUCCGCGUGUAGCAGUGAAAUGCGUAGAUAUGCGGAGGAACACCGAUGGCGAAGGCAAUCCCCUGGGCCUGCACUGACGCUCAUGCACGAAAGCGUGGGGAGCAAACAGGAUUAGAUACCCCAGUAGUCC
rnacentral:rRNA from 1 species